GCCAAUGUUACUCAGUGGUUAGAGUGUUAGCCCAUGCACCAAAGGGUCAUGGGUUUGAUUCCCAGUCAAAGGCU
rnacentral:tRNA from 1 species